UAAAGGGACUCUCGUCUGGACUAUCGUCUGACAACUUCUCUCCCACCUCUCUCCCUGUCACCGGCUGAAAAAAAAGCACCCCCAGUGGAAAGAGAUCUUUUCUCCAGUGGAAGGAGAUACUUGUGAACACAUCUCCUCCGGGUACCUGGGCCUCUCAGUUUGUUCUUUCAGACUCACGCCUGACUGGUGUUCCCCAGGCCCCAGAAGUGGCAAAGUCACUGUCAUGCAUCAUGACAAUCCCAUCCUGAUGCAUCAGGGCUCCAUCCACGGCAGGCUUUUCAGGAAGAACGCGGCCUUAGGAAGAAGCAGAGCCCGGAAGCUGUCCGUGUGCACCUGCCUUCGGGCAACGAGCUCUCGGAUUCUGAUGUCAGCUUUCAUCUAAAACAUUUCUGAGUGAACAUCCUACAUGAAAGAUUUGUAAGAAGAACCAAUCUGCCAUGGACCCUGUGCGAGCCUGCAUCUUCUUGCGAGGUGGGCCAAGAGUGCAUGGCUUGGCUGGACUUUAUCUAGGCCAGAUAUGUUUGCAGCAGCCGUUCUGAGAGAGGAGCGCACGAUCCAGUCCUUCAGUUUUUAUAAAAAUAGAUCGACAGGCAUCUUCCGGAGGUCACGCGGCAUUCUCACUUUUGUAGUACUUCGAGGUAUAAGCCCAGGGUAAUAUGUAUCAGUAGGAGACAUCGAAUCGUGUUUUCAAUAUUCAGUGUCUUGGUAAUUUAAAAAUGAAUAACCAUCUUC